ensembl:lncRNA
GGGCGCAGAACCAGCCUCCCCAGGAGGCCCCCAGCCCGCGUUUGCGCGUGCGCUCGCGAGCUGUCGUUACGUAGAGGCGGAAGCAGAACGCACGCCGGGCGCCUCAGCUCGCGUCUGGAUCCGUUGGAGCUUUAGAGUCCGAGGACUUCAAGAGGCACAAGAAGCUGGGCUGGGUACCUACUUGAGUCUGAGAGCCCUUCGAGGAGACCCUAGAGAAGACCUCCGCCUUCUAAGCCAGCCCUCUUCCUCAAAACAGAUCGUGGUCUCCCAGCCUCGGUUUCCCCGUUGGAAAGGAAUCUGAGAUCCAGAAAGGCCCCGAACACCGUCCAGGCUAUAAACAUGGUAGAGCACAGUGUUGGAUUUAGGGGUCGAGAGGUCCACGACUUUCAACACCGUACUUUGCGGGCAAGUUCUUCAGCCCACAUGGCAUCCCCUCUGUGGUCAAGUCGGCUCCCCAACUUCCUGUGUAUAUGAUAUCAGUCCCUCACGUAUCCAGUUUAUCUGAAAAUAUUAAAUGGAAAGUGCCAGGA